CAAAUUCUGAUAUUUUCCGAGGGAUGAGGGUAUACUGCCUUGCAAUUUAUUGAAUCCUAAUUGAAGGACAUUCAAUAAUGUGAGGUUACCAAGUGAGUCAGGAAUGAUCCCCCUUAUGUUGUUUCCAACCAAGCCGAGAGCUUGCAGGUUUCUGAGCUCACCAAUGGCAGGAGGAAUAGUGCCUGUUAACUGGUUAUACUCUAAACCCAGUCCAUUAAGAUUGAAAAGAUUUCUUAUUUCAGGAGGUAUGGUGCCUGAAAUUUGAUUCCCUGCCAUGGCGAUUAAUGUCAUUGUUGUCGAGAGGUUGGCUAUAGAAUGUGGUAGUACUCCUCCUAAUCUAUUAAAAACUAAACCAAGCCUUUCCAACUUACUGCAGUUUGUGAGAAGGGUUAUAAAAUCAAGAUCAGUAGAUGUCCUUGUUCCUAAAUUAUUUCGACCCAAAUUAAGCUUACUUAGAUUCGGAAGACUGUUGAAAUUGAUUCUCACUUGCCCACUGAAAUGAUUUUCGUUAAGCUCAAGCGAUUCAAGUUUUGAAGCAUUGGACAAUGACUGCGGGAGAAAACCUGUAAGAUUGUUUUGAGCUACUACUAGGACGGUCAGUUUUGGAAGAUUGAAACCUAAGCAGACGGGAAGACUUCCUUUGAAUCUAUUUUUAAAUAGAUAAGCCUCGUCUAGGGAAGAGAUGUUACAAACUGAAAGAGGAAACAUACCACAGAAAUCAUUUUCACUUGUGCCUAAGUAGUUCAAGUUUCUUAGUUGACCUAGACUAUCAGGAAUUCUCCCAUCCAAUUUAUUUCCCGCGAUGUCAAAUGUCUGGAGAGCUGAGAGAUUCCCAAUGGAAGGUGGGAGCUGCCCUGUCAACUGAUUAUCGUACAAGGACAAGCGCUCAAGUUUCAACCAGUUGCCGAUGAUUGCUUGAAUCUCUCCCACAAGGUUGUUAGUAUGGACCCAAAAAUCGAUGAGGUUAAAACAACGAGACAAGUUGGUUGGAAUCUUACCUGAAAAAGAAUUGUUUGAGAGUACUAUAGUUUCAAGCCUGAAAAGACGACCAACUUCUUUCGGAAUUUGACCGUGAAAACUGUUGUUUGCCAGGUUGAUGACUCUGAGGAAGCUCAGAUUUCCAAUGUAAGGAGAUAAGAAACCUCCUAUGUUUUGGCUUUCAAGAUCUAGCUCCGUUACCCUUUGGUGCCGAUGACCACAAGUCACGCCUGUCCAGUGACACAGGUUGAUAGAAUUGUUCCAUGAACUUGUAACACCAAGUGGAUCCCGAAGCUGUGACUUUAUGGCAAGCAAAGCAAGACGAUCUGUCUCGUUUGAAAGGGCGAAACAGCUAUCAGAAUUAAGCAAUGAAAACAAGCUAAAGCACCAUACUAAAGUGGCAAGGCAGCUCAUGGCAUUUAGCAUGUUUGAGCGUGAAGCUGGGAACAAGAUAAGGCUGCUCAAUGUUGUGCUCAGAAUGUGUGGACGAUUGUUUCAACUUCAUGUGAUGGGUUUUUAAAGCACACAAAAUACAAAAUUUUCUUCAUUGUUUGGUGUGGACUACCUCAACAUCAUGUCAAUUCAUUUAUUUAAAUUUAACACGAGAACACGAACUGACACUCCUAUUCAUAUUGCUUGUCAAUUUAGAGACUAUAAAGCCAUGAAUCAUGCGAAUUGGUACAGCUAAUUAAUUAAAUAAGGAACAACAAAUAAUAAGGCCGCUAACAGUUAGGAGUAUUAACCCAUGAAUCAUGCGACAGUGCCGGAAUGGGCGGCCGAAGAUUGUAAACUCUGAACGGCAUCGUUUUGAUUUUACCUAUUCGGGCGCCCGGGCGCCCAUUCGCACAAACUAGAAUUUUCCUUAAGCUAUAAGAAAGUGGCAAGCAGCUCAUGAAAAAGGAAUUUAUCGUGCUCAAACUUUGAGGAUUUUUAUUAAGCUGUGCUCAAAAUGUGUACAUGAUCGAUGCAACAUCAUGUGAAGGGCUUUUAGAGCAGAUUUUUCUUCGUAACCUCAGUUAAGAAAAAUGUCAGUCAAUAAAACGCAGCUGAGUAAUUGAAUGCAUGGUGUUGUUGGAGUCUUUGGACAUGAAAUUCUGUGGAAAUUUCUACUUGGAAACCAAAUGGUUAAACGUUCACCGCCCAAUAAAUACGGCACUCGCUCUUUCCUAAAACAGAAGUUAACUACUUAUUUUAUAAGAAAAGAGAAUUAUCAGUUAUUAUGUAUUUUUAAAAAAGUCAAAGUAUUCCUCCUAGUGCACCUAAAAUAAAUACCUUUUUUUUCCCUUUUUUCUCUGGAAAUUAAAUAUAUGCUUAUUAAAGUCUCUCAAUAAUAUUUUUUUUGGUUUUAGCAAACACGAUUAUUUCAUGAGGGAAAAAAACAUAUUAAUUACAAUCACAAACCCAUUCAAAGUACAAAAUUAAAAUUACAAACAUUUCCCAAUUUUUAUCAAUAUAAGAUGGUUUUAAUAAAUUCUUACUCUUCUCACAUUGCUAUUUUGAGAUUCUUAGGAGUUGUUUGUUUCUACUCAGUUAAGUAAAGUUUGCCUUUUCAACUUGAAUCGUAAAUGGAACAUAAUUUACUAAAAUUAUAAAUAUGAAAUUUACGUUUAUUUUUACACAUUUCAAUGAAAUAUCAGGAUUUUUUUCUUUUUUACGUAUUUAUAUAAUAAAGUUUAUCCUUAUUUUGAGUGAUAAGUCAAAAUUUCAUUUUUCAUUCAAUAUUUUUGGCAAGUGUUGAGUGUCAAGUUAAAAAAUAAAUACAUUUAAAACAAUUAAUAAACUGUAACAAAUCAUAUUCACAAUAUUCAAUUACAAAUCAAACAAGCAUUUUUUUUAAUUAUUAACUCACGUCUCACGCACCUGUUGUAUAGUUCAACUCCAAAAAAAAAGUAAUUUUUUUAUAAUAUUAUUAACUCGUGCACCCAUUGAAACUGAAACCUAGAACCUGAGUCUUAGGAUGGCCGCUUCUUACAAUUAGAGUAAGAUCUUAGCUUCAAGUCAAACGAGUAGUUUAAUAUGACUUAUUUUUACAAAUUCAUAUUUUCUAACUUUUUUUUUUAUAAUUACCAUGAACCCUUUGGCCUCUUGAUUUUACGAGAAUUUAGGCUAUCUUUUUGGGAUAUAUUUCUUCAAUUUCGCAUGUAACACUUAUAAAUAAUUUAUAUACCAAUGAAAUCAAAUAAAAAGUUGAAAAAUUCUCAUCUUAACACAUUAUGUUGAAUGUUCAAUGAAUUAUUUAAACAUUAACUUUUAAUACUACCAUUACACAUUACACAAUUAACCUGUUUUAUAUCACAUGAAAACCUCAUUCAUUUUGUCUUUUAUACUGUCGACUAUAUACGGUAAAAAAUGUUAAAAAAACUUAGACUGUUUGAUCGUAAAUUAUAAAAGUCAAAAUUUUUUAAGUAGAUAAAUCAAUCGCUAGAAUAAUUAGAAAAAAAAAUGCAGAAAUAAACAUCCAUUUUUAUUUCCAAACACGCAUAGAAAAUUAUAAGCAUCAUUAUCGCUACUUUCUUUGUUAUUUUUUGUACACUACUAGAAAAAUGAGUUUUACUGACACUAAUUUAGCGUCAGUAAUUACUUUUAUUGACACUUGUUAAUUGUGUCAGUGUUGCUCAAGACAGAACACACUGACACUAAUUUUUGGUGUCAGUGAUUUUUGUGUCAGUAAUUUGUUUCACUAUAGUAUCACUAAAAUAAUGACACGAUGAUGUUGGUAUUUAAUGAUACUAUUUACACGUCAGUAAUUUAUGUGACUAUAGUAUCAAAAACUGACUCGAUAAUAUAAAAAAUUCUUAUUGUUAUUUUAAAUAUGUAGUGUCAGUAUUUAGUAAUGUUAUGCUGCUUUUGGUUAAUAGUAUAUUUUAUUUUAAUUAUAUUUUUCGUGUUUGUUGUACAACCAAAAGAAAACUCAAAAUAUAUUUAUUAUUAAAUAUCUUGCAACACAAUUCAUAUAAUAAACAUCUCAAAUACAUCACAUAAAUUCACACAAUUCAACUACAUCACUAUAUGUAAAAGACUUAACAUAAGUAUCAAAUUAAAUUUUCAACAAUCUCUAAACAACAAGUGCUAACUACUACUCAAUUAAGUUUCCAACCCAAAAAAAAAAAAAAAAAAAAAGCACAAGGUCACUCAAUAUCCAUCCACGGCUUCAUUUUUUUCCCACCUACAAAUGCAUAAAAUCAAUUAGUAUACUGUGAAAAAUAAAUCUUAGUUAUUUUGAAGCAAAAAUACUCAUAAAUUACUUCAAUAUGGAAGAGUAGGAUUAAAAGAAGCAAGUUAAGGAAUCAGAAAAAGAAAUUGUAGAAUCUACACGUUCCCAAGUUAAUUACAACCUGCAAUCAUGAUACCAAAAUUGCUUCACCAAAAGUAUUCUAUCAAGUAUUAAAGAGAACACUUAAUAAGUACAUCAAUAUUCAGUAAUGAUGACAUGAACGAUGGUGUCUACAACUUGACAAGCAUAAGUUAUUUUUUUUGUAAUCUAUUUCAUUGUCUAAAUUUAAAGUAAACAAUACUAUAAUAUAUGAUCAAAUACAUUAAGUUAACAAGUACUAUAACAUUUAUAAUGCCCACAUUCAACGAUGAUCAGUUGGACCGAAAGCCAUAAAUUGAAAAAAAAUAUAUUUAAUGAACUUAAAGAGGAAAAAUAAAAAUUAACAAAAUUUAAACGACUAGUGAAGAAAUUACCAACUAAUAACCAAUCCUUAUACUACUAACAUAUCAUGAAAAUCUUGUGUUAUGGCAAGAAAACUCAGCUUUUCUACAAGUUACAAGGGCUCUCACAUUUUUCCAAUCGAGGUCUGGUUCAAUUCUCACAAAGCCUCUCAAACUUUCCUUAAGAACUAGCUUUCUUGUUAUUCAAGGAAACAUCUAAUUGACUGGACAAAAUCUACCAGCAACCUCAUUGGUAACACUUGCUACUUUGCUACUGUAAUAACCAGCAGCCAACUCUCUUGUUCUUCUAUAUAACACUUCAGCUACCCUCCCACUUCAGCGUCAUUAGUUCAUUACCAUGGAACCAACCUCUUGGAACCUCCAUGAAAGUUGAAUUUGUCACCAAUCUUUACAAAAUAUUAGUUUUAAAAUAAAAUUUAAAAAAUGUAAAAUUUCCUCUAAUUUCCAAUUCUUUUUCUUUUGUUUUAAAGAACAAUCGCAUUCUAAUCCAACCAACGUGGAUAGAAUAUGGCCACCAUUCAAGAUUCCAACAUUAUUACGCUCAACACAUUACAAGGUUUGCAAAGACCCACCAUGCUUGGAACUAGUUCCUCCUAAACUAUUCCCUUUCAAGUCCACGUUUUAGAUAGGUCAUGUGAUACACAUCAAAAGAAAGUAUAAAUAGAUCAAUAUGGUGUGCCUUUCACUCUGUACUAAUAAUCAAUUCAUUUUGCAUAUUAUCUAUCAAUUUCUGGUGCCACAGCAUAUGUACCUCAGUAUAUACUAAUCCUUGUGUUAUUUGUUGCUCAGCCUGCUCCUAUAAGCUUGAAUGGUUAUGCCCAACUGGCCCACCAGGAAUAGGGUUCUUAAUUUUCAUAAAAGAUAAUUAAUAGAGAAACUUCUCUGUAGUAUUUUCAUACCUGUGCCAAAACAGAGAAGAGAAAGAAAUGGUGUCUGACCUCGGUGGUAAAGGAACGAACAUGGAUGAAAAAUAAACUUGUGCAAACGGAGCCACUAGCAUUUUGCAAGAAUUAAAGAUUUUGGGUGAAAUCCUCUCUUAUAAACACUUAUUUGUAUUGGGAGCAUGCAUACUUCCGAGUAUGAUAUAAUUCUAUAAAAUUUAGACUCCCGAUAGAUAGAUAACACGUAUUAGCAUUAAUUAAAUGGAAGCAUCAACAAUAAUCAAUAAAUCAUUAUGGAAAAAAAAUUAAAAAUGAAAGGAGCUGAGGCACACCAUUGUGAUGCAAGAUUGACAAUCAAAAGAACCUUCCCUUGUAGAUGCUAAGAUCAACAUCAUGUCCCUUAGCAUCCUGCAAAUAAGAUAAUUUUUUAUAAAAAUUAAAAAAUAUAUAUGUCAAAUCCCAAAUUGAAUUAAAAAUAAAAAAAAGGGAAAGAAAAUGAAAGGAACACAAAUAAUAAAAAUAAAGUUGAAUUUAACAAUGAAAUCUUGAACAGAAGUUUUCAAUUGGCUUGUCAUUGUAUGAUCCGAUUUCAAAGUGAAAAAACAAGGCCUUGAAACCAAAGAAAUUGGCUUAGUUUUUUAUGGCCUCAAAAGGGUUUGCUUAUAAUUCCAAGUGAAAUGUUUUGUCAAAAAGGUUGAAGCUUGUCGUGGCGGCAGAGGAGCGGCAGCAGUGACCAAGACGAGCAGCAGCAGUGACGUACACGAAUGACAGCAGCGAUGUACAGAAAGGUAAUUAACAGAUUAACUCCUUUGCAGUAUUUUCAUACCUGUGCCAAAAGAGAGAAGAGUAAGAAAUGGUUCUUGAUCUCGACGGUAAAGGAACGGUGGUUGGCUGGGCUGAAGUUGAUGUGACGGCAUAAAAGCGGUAGCAGCGACGUACUAAAAGGUGGCUAGCUAGUCGUCGGUGGCUGAAGCUUGACAACAGCAGAGCAAAGGCGGCAGUGACGUCAAAGAACGACAGCCGACAGCAGUGAAAGUCGAGGAGCAGCGGCCGGCAGCAGUGAAAGUUGAGGAGCAGGGGAGCGGCGGCAGCAACUUAAGAAGUGGUGUGUUUGAUUAGGUUAGAUUUAGGGUUUCUUAUUUUCAUUUUAUACUUUGAAAAUUUAUAUAGUGUAGUUGUUCGCAUUGUAAUUUAAUAAAACAACAAACUAUAAGUCGACACGUGGUCAAGUAAAAUUAUUAUUAUUAACAACGAAUUACAAGUUGACAUGUGGCAAAAUAAAAUAUUAUUCUCAAAACUAUUAUUAUUAUUAUUAUUAUUAUUAUUAUUAUUGUCCACAAAGUAAUUGUGUAAAAUUUAAUUAAAUAAAAAAAUUAAUCAAAUUUAAAAUUUAAAAACACAUGCAUCAAUGGUUUGCACUCUAAACUUACAAAUUUUAAGUUUAGAGAUCUUGAGUUUGAGUUCAAAUUAAAACAAAAUUAAUAUUAUUAUUUUUUUUAUCACUGAUGCUUUAGUAUCAAUAAUCAUUGAGUUUUAAGCUACUGACACCUUAGUAUCAAUGAUUUAUGAUACAUACUUGUUAAAGGCAGAAAAUGGUCCAAAUGUACACCAUUUCUGACACUUUUUACUAAGUGUCAGAAACAAAGUGUCAGUAAAUGUCAUUUUUGUAGUAGUGGUAGGACUGGUUAAUAUAACCGGGUCAACUAAGGAAAAUUUAUUAUUAUUAAUUUUUGCAAACCCCGGCUAGUACGAGGAAAUUUUAUUAAUAAUGAAAUUUAAAAAAUAAGAAAUAUAUUUGUAUGUAGUCGUAAGCGUAGAGUCUACUUAAAAAAUAAUAAUAAUAAGUAAAAGAGAGAGCAAAGACUUUUGUGCGCUUGUUGAAAUUUCUACAUGGAAACUAAAUCGUGGCCCGUGUACCAUAAAAUCUUUGAUAGCAGAUUUGUCUCUGUAGAUCUUCUAGGUUGUGUCUCAAAUUUGACUGAGCUAAACAUAUAUACACCUUUUGCACUAUCCAAAGAAUACUAGUAAUUUCUAUGUGCAAAAGUGUGUGUGUGUGUAUAUAUAUAUAUAGAUAUAUAUAGUAUUUCUUUUUUUAGGGAAAAGACACUACACCUCUAAUGUUUAGGUGUCAGGACCCACUUUUAACCAUAAUAUCUUUGGACUUUAUAAAUCUAAAAAAAUUAUUCUCAAAAUUUUAUAAUAAAUAGAAAUAUAGGAUUAAAGUAUCUGUAAUAAUAUAUAUUUAAAAUAAUUUUGCUAUUUAAAAGAAAUUAAUUAAAGUUAAAACUAUUUUGAAUAUUAUGUAAAAAAUAAUUUUAGUAUUAUUAAUAGGGAGAUAUUUUGCUAAUUGUAAAAUUUAUUUAAAACAAAGAUUUAUUUAAAAUCUUCAAAAUAAAUAUAAACAUAUUAUUGAAAUAAAUAUAAUAAUUUAAAAUUUUAAUAUUAUUUUAAAUGUUAAAAAUAAUUUAAUAUUACUAGUCUACUGGAUAGAUUAUAUUAUUUAUAUUAUAUUUGUAUUAAUUAAAAAAAUUAAAUUCGCUAUUCUAAUUACUAUAUUAAAUAGGUAUUAUUGUUAAAAAGAGAUUUUGGUGUCCUUUUUUAAAAAUUUGGGUUUCCUCAAACUUUAGGGUGUUGGUAUCUUUUUUCCUUUUUUUUUUAAUGGAAAAGACGAUUGAUAAGAGGAGUUUGAUCAAAUCCCUAACUUCUUGUAGAAAAAAUGAGUCAAUUAAAUCAUGUUAGUACAAAUAGAAAAAUAAUGCAUUUAGGAAUUGAAGCUUACUUCUUUCAGUCCAUGGCGGUGCCACGUUGGGGCUAAUAAGGGCUAAAGCACUUGCUUGACUUUUUAAAAUUUUUAAAUUCAUUUUGGCAUUUAUCGCAUUUAUAAUUUGAUUUAUCAUAACAAAAAAUAACUAAAUUGUCAUAUAUUUGUUUUUUCAUGUUAUUUUUAAAUCCUUUGAAAAAAGGUCAAAUCCCUAAUUCUCAUCACUAUCAUGUUAAAUUGUUUUUUGUAGCUUUGGACAUGCAACUUCAAGAACUAAGCAAUUGUUUCAAUGAGGUGAAUAUUGAGUUCCUUCUUUGUUUGGCAUUUCUAUGGCCCAAUGGCUCUUUUGUAGAUUUUGACGAAUAGGAACUACUUCGCUUUGUUCAGUUUUACCCAAAUAAUUUUUACCCAAUAAAUCUUAUGGCACUUGAAAUUCAACUGGACGUUUACAUUAUGGAUGUGGAUUUUGAUAACAUUUUUUUAGGAUUGACAAUGAUUAAUGAACUAGCAUGAAAAAUGGGACUGAAAAGGAUAACUUGUAUUCAUUAAUUUUUCUAUUGGUGACAUUAGCAUUGAUUUUACCAUUGCUACAACUAUAAUAGGAAGGGUAUUUUCAGUUAUGGAUUUUGUGAAAAAACAGUUUGGAAAAUUAGAUGGGAGAUCAAUGGUUGAAUGGUAGUAUUGUUGUAUACAGAGAAAAAUAUAUAUUUUGUAGUCUUGAUGACGAGGUUAUUCUUUAAAGUUUUCAACAUAUGAAACCACGUAAAGGAUUGUUACAGGUGUAUUGAAUUAAAUAUUUUAAUAAAUUUUUCAUCAAUAUUUGUUAUUUGUUGACUAUUUUUUAAAUUAUAUUACUGUUUGGGCCGAGCACCUGCUAGGUUGAAUUCCUAGCACCACCACUAUUUCCUACCUUGGACACAUUGUCACCCAUACCAUACCUUUUAAAAAGAAAAACAAUUUGUUAAGGGUGUGUCUAGCACCCUCUAACAUGAGAAUGCAUUGCACUAUACAAUGCAGUCUCAAGUUUCACUGCCACAAAUUGCCGCAUUAAGUAAACCCGACUGGGAGAAAACGAUAUUAUUUUUUAAGCCCACCUUAAAUUUUUAAAAUAUUUUUUAAACCCACCUUGAAAAGUAAUUAAUAAUUUUAAAAUAUUUAGCUCACCAAUAAUAUUUUUAUUUGUAGAGUCUUCUCUAAAUUAAAAAAAAAAAGAUUCUUUCAUCAUAAAUUAUAAAAGUUUAUGUAUGUUAAUAAAUCAUUUUCUGGUAUAAUAAUUAAAAAAUACAUAAAAAAUAUGUACUUAAUUUGUUUCUCAAACACGCAUUAGCACAUCAUUAUUGCUGUAAAUAUAAAAAAGAAAAAAAUAAUAUUCACACAUAUACUUCACCAGAUUAAUUUUUUUUUAGUAGUGCUACACAUUUUAAAUUUAUAUUUCAAAAAUGUAUCUCAAAUGAUGUAACAUUCAUUAACUGAAUGGUGCGAUAAUACAAUUAAUUUACUUGGAUCUUAUAAAAAAUAUCAAUUACUUAAUAAAUAAUACAUCACAUUGCCACAUAACUCGGCAUGAAAUUUAAAAUACAAAAUUUGUGAUAUCUAUCAUUACUGCAUAGUUUGAGAUGGAAUUUAAAAUACAAAUUUUAUGAUGUUUAUCAUUUAUUUAUUUAUUUUUAUCUAAAUCGGAUUCAUGUGGAAUUUAAUAAUGUGGUGAUGAGUAUGCUCACAAAAGCAGAAUCAAUGGAGAAUGAGAAGAUGGAAACGAUGACUCAUUUGUUUCCGAAGCCAACGAACAACAAGUCGUUCACACUUCCCACGAAAACUAAUAGGUGGCCAAUAAGUUACUGCCUCAUGUAGGCGGAUUCCUCGACAAUCAAUUUCAAUUAUUUUUGUGCGUAUGUGGUGCACAUUUAUAAUAAAUGAGAAAAACUUCAGUGCCUCAACCGUACCAUACCAGAUUGCAUGUAGUGCGCUUUGACCAAUGAGGAUCCACUGAUGUGGGUUGUUUUGAUUUAGAGUAGUAUUAUACAUUCUAAAUUAUUUAUCUCAAAAAAUUAUCUUAAAUGAUGUAGCAUUUAUUAAUUGAUUAGUGAGGAUAAUAUAAUUAAUUCACUUGAAUCUUGUAAAGAAUUCAAUUAAUUAAUGACAUAUUAUUUGGAAUUGAAUUUGAAAUAAUGUUCAGUGCCGAGUUGAGUUUUUACUGAAUAUUGAAUCAAUUGUUGUUGGAAAAAAUAAAAAAAAUUAAAUAAUUCUAAUUAUUAAUUUAGUACUCAGCAAAAACUUAGUUUAGCACUGAAUUUUAAUCUAUAUAAGGAUAAAUCUAUCAAAAUGUUAUAUUUAUUGGUUUGGCGCACUAAGGGAACACCACAUAAUUUAAGUCUGUCCCCUAUAAACGAUUUGAAAAAUUGACAAUCAAUCAAAUUUUUUUUUAUGAAUUUGUGGGAAUUUCUACUGUGGAAAAUAAAUCCUCGCUCCUCAAUGCAUACAUUUUUAAUUCAAAGAUUCAAUGAUCCAUGUACUAUCUAAUAAACCAAUUAAAAAAAUGUGUGAAUGAUCGAUGCAACUUCGAAUUCAUGUGAAGGUUUUUAAAGCAGAAAAUGUAUUAACUAAUUUCAUAAGGUGCGUGUACGACACGCAUAAGUUGACGCAUAAACCAAGACAGUCAAUAAAUAAAUUCCAAUUAUUUUUGUUGAAAUUUCUUCGUGGAAAACAAUUGGCUGAACAUCCACCAUCCAAUAAUUGUGGUGCGGCGCAAACAGUUGACUUAGACCAUGAAAAAUAGGUUGAGAAAUAUUAAUAAAAUGAUUAAUCUCUUCAUUCUCAGACCACAAAAUUGCACGAUCAGUGUGGAAUUAAGUUUAAGAUUUUUCAUAUCGUCAACAGAAUUUAUAAUUAUGAGCAUAAAAAUUUAUAAUUAAAACUAUUCGAUAAUUGUUAACAUUAAAAACGUGACUAGGCAUUUAUAAUAUAUUCUAAACCUUAUUACCAAUAAAAAUCUCCCUGACAGCACAUAAUUUUGUUACAACUUCUGUCAUUUGCAUUCGCUCGGAUGGAGAUUCCAUUGAGCAGGCAACUCCAGUUCUCACUACAGCUACCAAGCACUCCUCAAUUCUGAUUAUUUCGUUCUCACGACUCCUAGUGCUGCUCGGCCCCCUUGCUUCCAUCAGCAGUGAAGGGUCAACAAUUCCCAUUACUUUUUUCGGCAGAGCCAUCUUGGCAUAUCCAUGGAGAGUCAAGCCAUCAUUGAACAUGUUAUCAGUUGGUCUUCUUCUGGUAAACAUCUCAAGCAACAAAAUUACGAAGCUGUACACAUCUCCUGUCAUGGAUAAAUCGCCGCCCAUACCAUACUCUGGCCAAAAAUAUAUACAUAUACCGUAUUCUCUGUGUUAGAUGCUUAGAUUAAGUGCUUAUAUCAUGUGCAUAUAGUAUAGUAUUUAAAAGAUCAAAAUACCAAAUAUUUAUGGAAAAAAUAAUUACCUGGUCCAAUAUAACCAAUAGUUCCUUUCAUCCCAAUUGAACUUGAUUGACCUUCAGGAGCUACAAGAAAUGGGUGGUGGGACAGAAAUCUAGCUAGCCCAAAGUCACUCACAUGGGCAACCAUGUCAUGAUCAAGUAAAACGCUGCUUGGCUUUAGAUCGCCAUGAACUGGUGGUUGGCAGUGGUUGUGAAGAUAUUCGAUUACAGAAGCCACUUCAAUGACUAUGUUUAGUCUUUGAAUGAGAUUUAAUAAAUUUUUAAAAUAUUUUUUAACCCACCUUGAAAAGUAAUUAAUAAUUUUAAAAUAUUUAACUCACCAAUAAUAUUUUUAUUUGUAGAGUCUUCUCUAAAUUAAAAAAAAAAUUCUUUCAUCAUAAAUUAUAAAAGUUUGUGUAUGUUAAUAAAUCAUUUUCUGGUAUAAUAAUUAAAAAAUACAUAAAACAAUAUGUACUUAAUUUGUUUCUCAAACACACAUUAGCACAUCAUUAUUGCUGCAAAUAUAAAAUAAUAAUAAUAAUAUUCACAUAUAUACUUCACCAAAUUAAUUUUCUUUGAGUAGUGCUACACAUUUCAAAUUUUAAUUUCAAAAAUUUAUCUCGAAUGAUACAACAUUCAUUAACUGAAUGGUGCGAUAAUACAAUUAAUUCACUUGAAUCUUAUAAAAAAUAUUAAUUACUUAAUAAAUAAUACAUCACAUUGCCACAUAACUUGGCAUGAAAUUUAAAAUAUAAAAUUUUGUAUAUCUAUCAUUACUACAUAAUUUGAGAUGAAAUUUAAAAUACAAAUUUUAUGAUGUUUAUCAUUACUUAUUAUUUAUUUAUUUAUGUUUAUCUAAUUCGGAUUCAUGUGGAAUUUACUAAUGUGGUGAUGAGUGUGCUCUUAAAAGCAGAAUCAAUGGAGAAUGAGAAUGUGAAAACGAUGACUGUUUCUGAAGUCAACGAACAAAAUGUCGUUCACACUUCCCACGAAAACUAAUAGGUGGCCAAUAAGUUUCUGCCUCUUGUAGGUGGAUUCCUCGACAAUCAAUUUCAAUUACUUUUGUGCGUACGUGGUGCACAUUUCUAAUAAACGAGAAAAAUGUGCCCCAAACGUACCAUACACGAUUGCAUGUAGUGCGCUUUGACCAAUGAGGAUCCACUGAUGGGUUGUUUUGAUUUAAAGUUGUGCUAUACAUUCUACAUUAUUUAUCUCAAAAAAAUUAUUUUAAAUGAUGUGACAUUUAUUAAUUGAUUAGUGAAGAUAAUACAAUUAAUUUACUUAAAUCUUGUAAAGAAUUACUAACCAAUUAAUGAAUGACAUAUCAUUUAGGAUAAUGUUCAAUGUCAAGCUGAGUUUUUACAAAACAUUAAAUCAAUGAUUGUUAGACAAAAUAAAAAAAAUUAAAUAAUUCUAAUUAUUAAUAAAAUAUACUCCACUGAGGCACCAACUAUAUAUAGUUGUAGUUUGAAUAAACUAUACUCGAAAAAUUAGCUUACCUUUAUCUAUUAAUCAUCUUUGAAAAACUUUGUAAUAUUGUAGUAACAUAAAUAAAGUUUUGCUGCAAAUUUUCUUAUCCAAUCCUAAAGGAUUUUCUUCCAAAUUUAUGACACACUAUUCCUUUAAAUUUAUAACGCUUGACUUAUUUUAUAAGAAAAGAGAAGCAUUAAUAGUUAUUUUUGUCCACAAAUAAAUGACAGCUUUUUAUCAUUUAAUUUGACGGUAGCUUAAUCUUCAACUACCAAUAUGAGCAACAGGAGAUUUUAUCGACUUAUCUGGACCUGGUUGCUAUUUAUUUAGUUGUAAAGUAAAUGAGGCAAUUGAAAAAUGAAUAAUAGGUUGAGAAAUAUUGCUAAAAUGAUUAGUAACUUCAUUCUCAGACCACAAAAUUGAACGAUCAGAGUGGAAUUAAGUUUAAGAUUUUACAUAUCCUCAACAGAAUUUAUAAUUAUGAGCAUAAAAAUUUAUAAUUAAAACUAUUCGAUAAUUGUUAACAUAAAAAACGUGACUAGGCAUUUAUAAUCUAUUCUAGACCUUAUUACCAAUAAAAAUAUCCCUGACAGCACAUAAUUUUGUUACAACUUCUGUCAUUUGCAUUCGCUCAGAUGGAGAUUCCAUUGAGCAGGCAACUCCAGUUCUCACUACAGCUACAAAGCACUCCUCAAUUCUGAUUAUUUCGUUCUCAUUAAUCCUAGUGCUGCUCGGCCCCCUUGCUUCCAUCAGCAGUGAAGGGUCAACAAUUCCCAUUACUUUUUUCGGCAGAGCCAUCUUGGCAUAUCCAUGGAGAGUCAAGCCAUCAUUGAACAUGUUAUCAGUUGGUCUUCUUCUGGUAAACAUCUCAAGCAACAAAAUUCCGAAGCUGUACACAUCUCCUGUCAUGGAUAAAUCGCCUCCCAUACCAUACUCUGGCCAAAAAUAUAUACACAUACCAUAUUCUUUGUGUUAGAUGCUUAGAUUAAGUGCUUAUAUCAUGUGCAUAUAGUAUAUUAUUUAAAAGAUCAAAAUAUCACAUAUAUAUGGAAAAAAUAAUUACCUGGGGCAAUAUAACCAACAGUUCCUUUCAUCCCAAUUGAACUUGAUUGACCUUCAGGAGCUAGAAGAAAUGAGUGAUCCGACAGAAAUCUAGCUAGCCCAAAGUCACUCACAUGGGCAACCAUGUCAUGAUCAAGUAAAACGUUGCUUGGCUUUAGAUCGCCAUGAACAAUUGGUUGUUGGCAGUGGUGGUGAAGAUAUUCAAUUACACAAGCCACUUCAAUGACUAUGUUUAGUCUUUGAAUGAGAUUUAAAUUGCCCACUUCAUCAUUGGUAGGGUGCAACCAAUCCUCUAAACUUCCACAUUUCAUGUAUUCAUAAACAAUUGCCUUGAAAUCAGCACCUUUAAUAUCAAUGCUUGAGCAGAUAGUGAUGAUUUUGAUGAGAUUCCGAUGACGAAUGUUUCUUAAUGCUUCACAUUCGGCAACAAAACUCUUUGUUGCACCUUUUUUAUUCAGAUUCAUUACCUUCACUGCUACUGACAUUCCGUCCGCACCUAGAUUUCCCUUGUACACAAAGCCAAAGCUUCCCUUGCCGAUUAUGUUUGAUGAAGAAAAUUCGUUUGUCGCCUUACUUAGCUCAGCAUAAGAAACUAUUGGAAAUUGUUGUUCCAUCAACAGUACACUUGAUGGUUUAUGUGCAAGUUUGGUUCUUCGAGUAUAAACAACAAUAGAGCAUAUUAAAAAGAUGAGAACUGACCCAAUCACCGGAAUCACAACUUUGAGAAUAGUAGUAGUUUCUUUUCUUGGUCCACGCGAAUGGCAGGCUGGUAAAUGCAAUUCACCUAUACCUCCACAAAGCUGUUCAUUCCCAGUUAAAGAAAUUCUUGUUUCGUUGUUGAAGACUCCUUUUUUUGGUACCUCACCCUCAAAGUGAUUGUAAGACAGGUUUAGGUACUCUAAGAAGGGUAGAUCCUCAAGAUAUUUUGGGAUUUGGCCUGACAAAUUGUUACAUGAAAUAUAUAGCUCUUUAAUGCUUUUUAAGGCAUUUAAAGACUGCGGAAUCCUUCCAUUAAACGAAUUGCCUUGCAUAAUAAGAUACUCUAAGGUUUACGAGCACUUAGAGUAACAGGAAUCUCAUUGGAAAAUGAUUUCUAGAUAUAUCCAAUUUAACGAGAUUUUUCAAGUUACCCACCUCUAGUGGAAUAGAACCACUAAGAUGGUUUUCGGACAAAUCUAAGAGAAUUGAAAGGGUUGUUAUCCCAAAAAUUUGUGGGGGCAAAGUACCAUUGAGUUUAUUGUUGGGGGCACUCAAUUCCAUCAAAUUCUGACAUUUGCCGAGGGAUGAGGGUAUACUGCAUUGCAAUUUAUUGAAUCCUAAUUGAAGGACAUUCAAUAAAGUGAGGUUACCAAGUGAGUCAGGAAUGAUCCCCCUUAUGUUGUUUCCAACCAAGCCAAGAGCUUGCAGGUUUCUGAGCUCACCAAUGGCAGGAGGAAUAGUUCCUGUUAACUGGUUAUACUCUAAACCCAAUCCAUUAAGAUUGAAAAGAUUUCUUAUUUCAGGAGGUAUGGUGCCUUAUGUUUGAUUCCCUGCCGUGGCGAUUAAUGUCAUUGUUGUCGAGAGGUUGGCUAAAGUGUCAAAGGCAGCCAUCUAGAUGGUUUAAAGCAGCCAUCUAGAUGGUCAGCAUCCAUGUUGUUCAAAGAAGAGGAAUUUUGCAGCAAGUUGGAAAGGAAAAGGAGCACAUGGGUUUGACAUUUGAAAGAAGAAAAAAGAACGUAAAAAUAAUAUAGAAUUGCUGCAUAGUGCCAAAGCUUUCUCUAUAAAUAGAAACGAAGAGAAUGAGCAAAGGCAUUCUAUUCAGAGAGCAAUUUAGGGAGUUGAGAGAGAGUUCAAGAGCUUGCAUUUAUAAGCUCUUGUUACAGUGAUUGAGAGAGUUUGGGUGUAUUGGGGUUUUGGGUAGUGAGAUAAAAUACUACAAUACUUGUAACUCCUUUUCACUAGUAAAAUAUGUCCUUCUGUUUUCGCCCGUGGACGUAGGCUAAAAGCCGAACCACGUAAUUUCUUGUGUCCUCUAUUGUGCUUGUUCUUUAUUUUCUUCCAAUUUUAUUUUAGCUGCGUGUCUGCGCCACCCAACAAUUUCCUAACAGUGGUAUCAGAGCUAUUGGUUGUAUUUUUUGGAGUUGGGUACUAUUCACGUAAGGGGUACUAUUCACAUAUACGGUACUGUUCACGUAUACGAUACUAUUCACGUAUACGGUAUUGUUCACGUAUACAGUACUAUUCACGUGAAACGGUGGAAGUGAUCCAAGAAUUUUACGGUGCAAAGCAAAGAAUAAUGGUGUGAGUAAAAGCAACUGUGUGGUUUUGUACAUGUCUAGGAAAGUUCUGUCACAAAGGCGAUAAGAGCUUAAGGAGUCUGGGUUUUAAGUAGGACCAUUGUGACCCCUCCAGUCUUUCCUGGGAACUUUCCUGGUGUGCAUUCUCACACAUACUCACAACUAUUCAAGGUGGUACACUAGCUUGUGUGCGGUACUUAUCAACAAAAUGGCGGCAAAGUAUGAAAUUGAGAAGUUUAACGGAAAUAAUUUUUCGUUGUGGAAAAUGAAGAUGAAAGUUAUAUUGAGGAAAAAUAAUUGCUUUGCAGCAAUUGGAGAAAGGCCCAUGGAGAUAACUGAUGACAAGUGGAACGAGGUAGACGGCAACGCCAUUUCUGAUCUACACUUGGCACUUGCAGACGAAGUAUUAUCCAGUGUGGUAGAGAAAAACACAGCGAAGGAAAUUUGGGAUACUCUCACAAAAUUGUACGAGGCCAAGUCACUACACAACAAAAUUUUCUUGAAGAGGAAACUUUAUACUCUUCGAAUGGCGGAAUCUACAAUGGUGACCGACCACAUCAACACCUUGAAGACUCUAUUUUCACAACUCACAACUUUGGGUCAUAAUAUAGAGGAAAAUGAACGUGCAGAGCUUCUACUUCAAAGUCUACCAGAUUCGUAUGAUCAACUCAUCAUCAACCUGACAAACAACAAUCCAGCGGACAGUCUAGUUUUUGACGAUGUUGCAGCCUCCGUAUUAAAUGAGGAGAGCAGGCGGAAAAAUAAGGAAAACAGACAAGCAAGUUCGCAGCAAGCGGAGGCGCUAUCGGUGACGAGAGGGAGAUCAACAGAACGUGGCCCCAGUGGGAGUCACAAUAAUGGUAGAUCAAAAUCCAGAAGUAAGAAGAAUGUUAAAUGCUACAACUGUGGCAAGAAAGGGCACGUCAAGAAAGAGUGUUGAAGUAACCAGAAGAGAAAAGAGGGCAAAGAACCUGAGUCAUCAAAUGCUCAGGGGUGUGUAGCAAGUACCUCGGAUGAUGGCGAAAUUCUCUACAGCGAAGCAACAAUUGUUUCAGAAGGCAGAAAACGACUUUAUGAUGUCUGGCUUAUAGACUCAGGAGCUACCUGGCACAUGACCUCUCGGAGAGAAUGGUUCCACACAUAUGAACCUAUCUCAGGAGGAUCUGUAUAUAUGGGUAAUGAUCAUGCCUUGGAGAUCGCUGGUAUUGGUACUAUCAAAAUAAAAAUGUUUGAUGGUACAAUUCGCACAAUUGGGGAGGUACGCCAUGUCAACGGCCUGAAGAAAAAUCUUUUGUCUUUGGGACAAAUGGAUAGUCGUGGGUACAAAACUCAUGUGGAGAAUGGAAUUAUGAAGAUCGUUAAAGGCGCGCUUGUAUUAAUGAAGGCGGAAAAGAUCGGUGCUAAUCUAUUCAUGCUUAAAGGGGAAACACUACAGGAAGCUGAUGCGUGUGUCGCGUCAAAUGGAGAAGAGUCAACGAUGAUGUGGCAUCUCAAACUUGGCCACAUGUCGGAACAAGGCUUAAAGAUUCUCUCUGAGCGAAAAUUACUUCCGAGGCUCAAAUCGGUAAGUUUACCAUUUUGCGAGCAUUGUGUUACUAGUAAGCAGCAUAGAUUAAAAUUUAGUAGAUCUAUUGCUAGAAGUAAAUGCAUUCUAGACUUAAUUCAUUUUGAUAUUUGGGAAUCACCGGAUAUAUCCAUGGGAGGUGCAAAGUACAUGGUGACUUUCAUUGAUGAUUAUUCCAGAAGAUGUUGGGUGUAUCCAAUUAAGAAAAAGUCAGAUGUAUUUCCAGUGUUUAAAGAAUACAAAGCGCGGGUGGAACUUGAAUCUAGUAAAAAGAUCAAGUGCUUAAGGACGGAUAAUGGUGGAGAGUAUACAGACGGCGAGUUUCUUGCUUUCUGUAAGCAAGAAGGUAUUCAGAGGCAGUUCACGGUGGCAUACACUCCUCAACAAAACGGAGUGGCAGAGCGGAUGAACAGAACUCUUACAGAAAGAAUAAGAGCUAUGUUGAGGACUGCUGGUCUACCCAAUUCAUUCUGGGCAGAAGCAGGCAAAAUUGCUUGUUAUAUAGUAAAUUGAUCGCCAUCUACAGCUAUUGGGCUAAAGACAGCAAUGGAGAAGUGGACUGGAAAGCCAGCUGAUUAUUCCUACCUACAUGCAUUUGGAUGUCCUGUGUACGUGAUGUACAAUGCCCAAGAAAGAACAAAGUUAGAUGCAAAAUCUAGAAGAUGUAUCUUCUUGGGGUAUGCUGAUGGAGUAAAGGGGUAUCGUCUGUGGGACCCAACUGCCCACAAGAUCGUCAUCAGCAGAGAUGUUAUCUUUGUAGAAGAUCAACUGCAAAGGAGAGAUGAGGAUGAUGGCACUACAAAAGAAAAGUCAGAGAUCGUGCCAGUAUAUGUGGAAAAUAAUCUAGAAGAUUCAGAUUCUUCUGAAGCAGCACCAGAGCACGAGGAACAAGAACCAGUCGAGUCCGAGGCUCAAGAAGUUCGUCGGUCAACUCGUGAGAGACGACCACCAACAUGGCACUCGGAGUAUAUCACAGAGAUCAACGUUGCAUACUGUCUUCUAACAGAGGAUGAAGAGCCUUCAACUUUCCAUGAAGCUUUAGAAAGCUCAGAUAUUGCUUUGUGGAUGACAGCAAUGCAGGAAGAAAUUGAAGCUCUACACAAGAACAAGACAUGGGAACUUGUACCACUACCACGUGGAAGAAAAGCCAUUGGAAACAAAUGGGUCUAUAAGAUCAAGCGUGAUGGCAAUGACCAAGUGGAGCGGUAUCGUGCAAGAUUGGUGGUGAAAGGAUAUGCUCAGAAAGAAGGUAUUGACUUCAACGAGAUAUUUUCGCCCGUGGUUCGACUCACAACAGUUAGAAUAGUCUUGGCAAUGUGUGCUACAUUUGACCUACAUCUAGAGCAGUUAGAUGUGAAAACUGCAUUUCUUCAUGGAGAACUUGAAGAAGAAAUAUAUAUGCUCCAACCAGAAGGUUUUGCAGAAACAGGAAAGGAGAACUUGGUUUGUAGGUUGAACAAAUCUCUUUACGGUCUCAAACAGGCGCCGAGGUGUUGGUAUAAGAGAUUUGAUUCCUUCAUCAUGAGUCUUGGAUACAACAGGCUCAGUUCAGACCAUUGUGUAUAUUACAAGAGGUUUGAAGAUAAUGAUUUCAUUAUUUUGCUGUUGUAUGUGGAUGACAUGUUGGUAGCAGGUCCCAACAAAGAUCGAAUCCAAGAAUUGAAGGCACAGUUGGCUAGGGAGUUUGAAAUGAAGGACUUGGGACCAGCAAACAAGAUUCUAGGGAUGCAAAUUCACCGAGACAGAAAUAACAGGAAGAUUUGGCUUUCGCAGAAGAAUUACUUGAAGAAAAUCUUGCGACGCUUCAACAAGAUUGUAAGCCAAUUUCUACCCCACUUCCUGUUAAUUUCAAAUUAUCCUCAAGUAUGUGUCCUAGUAAUGAAGCAGAGAGGAAGGAGAUGUCUCGAGUACCGUAUGCAUCAGCAGUGGGAAGUUUAAUGUUCGUUAUGAUAUGUACAAGACCAGACAUUGCACAAGCAGUGGGAGCAGUCAGUCGAUAUAUGGCGAAUCCUGGUGGAGAGCAUUGGAUAGCUGUGAAGAGGGUUCUGAGAUACAUCAGAGGAACCUCAGAUGUUGCAUUAUGUUAUGGAGGAUCAGAGUUUACUGUCAGAGGCUAUGUAGAUUCAGAUUUUGCAGGAGACCUUGAUAAAAGGAAAUCCACUACUGGUUAUGUGUUUACACUUGCGGGAGCAGCUGUAAGCUGGGUUUCGAAACUGCAGACCGUUGUGGCUUUAUCUACAACAGAAGCAGAGUACAUGGCAGCUACACAAGCUUGCAAGGAAGCUAUUUGGAUACAAAGGUUAUUGGAGGAGCUCGGGCACGGACAAGAGAAAAUUUCUGUAUUUUGUGACAGUCAGAGUGCCUUGCACAUUGCAAGGAAUCCAGCCUUUCAUUCCAGGACAAAGCACAUAGGAGUCCAGUAUCACUUCGUUCGUGAAGUAGUGGAAGAUGGAAGUGUGGAUUUGCAGAAAAUCCAUACCAAAGAGAAUCUAGCAGAUGUUUUGACCAAGCCGAUUAAUACUGAUAAGUUUGUCUGGAGUAGAUCCUCUUGUGGCCUAGCAGAAACGUAGGCAACAUGUUUAUGGCGAAGUAGAAAGGAUGGUGUGGGGAUUGAUUGCUUCUCAAUCUAAUCUCCAAGUGGGAGAAAUGUCAAAGGCAGCCAUCUAGAUGGUUUAAAGCAGCCAUCUAGAUGGUCAGCAUCCAUGUUGUUCAAAGAAGAGGAAUUUUGCAGCAAGUUGGAAAGGAAAAGGAGCACAUGGGUUUGACAUUUGAAAGAAGAAAAAAGAACGUAAAAAUAAUAUAGAAUUGCUGCAUAGUGCCAAAGCUUUCUCUAUAAAUAGAAACGAAGAGAAUGAGCAAAGGCAUUCUAUUCAGAGAGCAAUUUAGGGAGUUGAGAGAGAGUUCAAGAGCUUGCAUUUAUAAGCUCUUGUUACAGUGAUUGAGAGAGUUUGGGUGUAUUGGGGUUUUGGGUAGUGAGCUAAAAUACUACAAUACUUGUAACUCCUUUUCACUAGUAAAAUAUUUCCUUCUGUUUUCGCCCGUGGACGUAGGCUAAAAGCCGAACCACGUAAUUUCUUGUGUCCUCUAUUGUGCUUGUUCUUUAUUUUCUUCCAAUUUUAUUUUAGCUGCGUGUCUGCGCCACCCAACAAUUUCCUAACAUAAAGAAUGUGGUAGUACUCCUCCAAAUCUAUUAAAAUGUAAACCAAGCCUUUCCAACUUACUACAAUUUGUAAGAAGGGUUAUAAAAUCAAGAUCUGUAGAUGUCCUUGUUCCUAAAUUAUUUUGACCCAAAAAAAGCAUAAUUAGAUUCGGGAGACUGUUGAAAUUGAUUCUCACUUGUCCACUGAAAUGAUUUUCAUUAAGGUCAAGCGCUUUAAGUUUUGAAGCAUUGGACAAUGACUGUGGGAGAAAACCUGUAAGAUUGUUUUGAGCCACUACUAGGACGCUCAGUUUUGGAAGAUUGAAACCUAAGCAGACUGGAAGACUUCCUUGAAAUCUAUUUGUAAGUAGGUUCAAGUUUUCCAGGGAAGACAUGUUACAAACUGACAGAGGAAACAUACCAGAAAAAUCAUUUUCUGGUAUGCCUAAGAAGGUCAAGUUUCUUAGUUGACCUAGACUAUCAGGAAUUGUCCCAUUCAAUUUAUUUUCCCCAAUGUCAAUUGUCCGGAGAGCUGAGAGAUUCCCAAUGGAAGGUGGGAGCUGCCCUGUCAACUGAUUACCGUACAAGGACAAGCGCUCAAGUUUCAGCCAGUUGCUGAUAAUUGCUUGAAUCUGUCCCACGAGGUUGUUAGUAUGGACCCAAAAAUGGAUGAGGUUAAAACAACAAGACAAGUUGGUUGGAUUAACGAACAAAAAGUCGUUCACACUUCCCACGAAAACGAUGACUGUUUCCGAAGUCAACGAACAAAAAGUCGUUCACACUUCCCACGAAAACUAAUAGGUGGCCAAUAAGUUACUGCCUCAUGUAGGUGGAUUCCUCGACAAUCAAUUUCAAUUACUUUUGUGCGUACGUGGUGCACAUUUCCAAUAAACGAGAAAAAUGUGCCCCAAACGUACCGUACAUGAUUGCAUGUAGUGCGCUUUGACCAACGAGGAUCCACUGAUGUGGGUUGUUAUGAUUUAGAGUUGUACUUUACAUUCUACAUUAUUUAUCUUAAAAAAUAUCUUAAAUGAUGUGGUAUUUAUUAAUUAAUUAGUAAAAAUAAUAUAAUUUAUUUAUUUAAAUAUUGUAAAAAAUUAUCAAUCAAUUAAUGAAUGACAUAUCAUUUGAGAUAAUAUUCAAUGCCGAGCUGAGUUUUUACUGAAUAUUGAAUCAAUGGUUGUUAGACUAAAUAAAAAAAUUAAAAUAAUUCUAAUUAUUAAUUUAGUACUCAAUAAAAACUUAGUUUAGCACUAAAUUUUAAUUCAUAUAAGGAUAAAUCUACCAAAAUAGUGUAUCUAUUGGUUUGGCGCACUAAGUGUACACCACAUAAUUUAAGUCUUUCCCCUAUAAACGAAUUGAAAAAUUGACAAUCAAUCAAAAUUAAUUUUAUGAAUUUGUGGGAAUUUCUACUGUGGAAAAUAAGUUCUCGCUUCUCAAUGCGUACAUUUUUAAUUCAAAGAUUCAAUGAUCCAUAUACUAUCUAAUAAACCAAUUAAAAAUAUGUGUGCAUGAUCGAUGCAACUUCGAAUUCACGGGAAGGGUUCUUAAAGCAGAAAAUGUAUUAACUAAUUUCAUAAGGUGCGUGUACCACACACAUAAGUUGACGCAUAAACCAAGACAGUCAAUAAAAUGCAACUGAAAAAUUGAAUGGUGUUGGUGGAGUCUUUUGGAAAUGAAAUAAAUUCCAAUUAUUUUUGUUGAAAUUUCUUCUUCGAAAACAAAUGGCUGAACAUCCACUAUCCAAUAAUUGUAGGGCCUCUACAUAAAUUAUUUUUAUAACAUAUAUAUUUACCCACUCCUCCACUGAGGUACCGAUUAUAUAUGGUUGUAGUUUGAAUAAAGUAUACUUGCAAAAUUAGUUUAUCUUUAUCUAUUGAUCUUCUUUGAAAAACUUAGUAAUAUUGUAGUAACAUAAAUAAAACAUUGUCACAAAUUUUGUUAUCCAAUCCUAAAGGAUUUGCUUCCAAGUUUAUGACACACUAUUCCUUUAAAUUUAUAACAGUUGACUUAUUUUAUAAGAAAAGAGAAGCAUUAAUAGUUCUUUUUGUCCACAAAUAAAUGACAGAUUUUUAUCAUUUAAUUUGACGGUAGCUUAAUCUUCAACUACCAAUAUGAGCAACAGGAGAUUUUAUCGACUUAUCUGGACUUGGUUGCUAUUUAUUUAGUUGUAAAGUAAAUGAGGCAAUUGAAUAUUGAAUAAUAGGUUGAAAAAUAUUGCUAAAAUGAUUAGUAACUUCAUUCUCAGACCACAAAAUUGCACGAUCAGAGUGGAAUUAAGUUUAAGAUUUUACAUAUCCUCAACAGAAUUUAUAAUUAUGAGCAUAAAAAUUUAUAAUUAAAACUAUUCGAUAAUUGUUAACAUAAAAAACGUGACUAGGCAUUUAUAAUCUAUUCUAAACCUUAUUACCAAUAAAAAUCUCCCUGACAGCACAUAAUUUUGUUACAACUUCUGUCAUUUGCAUUCGCUCGGAUGGAGAUUCCAUUGAGCAGGCAACUCCAGUUCUCACUACAGCUACCAAGCACUCCUCAAUUCUGAUUAUUUCGUUCUCAUGACUCCUAGUGCUGCUCGGCCCCCUUGCUUCCAUCAGCAGUGAAGGGUCAACAAUUCCCAUUACUUUUUUCGGCAGAGCCAUCUUGGCAUAUCCAUGGAGAGUCAAGCCAUCAUUGAACAUGUUAUCAGUUGGUCUUAUUCUGGUAAACAUCUCAAGCAACAAAAUUCCGAAGCUGUACACAUCUCCUGUCAUGGAUAAAUCGCCGCCCAUAUCAUACUCUGGCCAAAAAUAUAUACAUAUACCGUAUUCAUUGUGUUAGAUGCUUAGAUUAAGUGCUUAUAUCAUGUGCAUAUAGUAUAUUAUUUAAAAGAUCAAAAUACCAAAUAUUUAUGGAAAAAAUAAUUACCUGGGCCAAUAUAACCAAUAGUUCCUUUCAUCCCAAUUGAACUUGAUUGACCUUCAGGAGCUACAAGAAAUGGGUGGUGGGACAGAAAUCUAGCUAGCCCAAAGUCACUCACAUGGGCAACCAUGUCAUGAUCAAGUAAAACGUUGCUUGGCUUUAGAUCGCCAUGAACAAUUGGUGGUUGGCAGUGGUUGUGAAGAUAUUCGAUUACAGAAGCCACUUCAAUGACUAUGUUUAGUCUUUGAAUGAGAUUUAACUUGCCCACUUCGAGUUUAUCAUUGGUAGGGUGCAACCAAUCCUCUAAACUUCCACAUUGCAUGUAUUCAUAAACAAUUGCCUUGAAAUCAGCACCUUUAAUAUCAAUGCUUGAGCAAAUAGUGAUGAUUUUGAUGAGAUUCCGAUGGCGGAUGUUUCUUAAUGCUUCACAUUCAGCAACAAAACUCUUUGUUGCACCUUUUUUAUCAAGAUUCAUUACCUUCACUGCUACUGAAAUUCCGCCCUCGCCUAGAUUUCCCUUGUACACAAAGCCAAAGCUUCCCUUGCCGAUUCUGUUUGAUGAAGAAAAUUCUUUUGUUGCCUUACUUAGCUCAGCAUAAGAAACUAUUGGAAAUUGUUGUUCCAUCAACAGUGCACUUGAUAAUUUAUGUGCAAGUUUGGUUCUUCGAGUAUAAACAACAAUAAAGCACAUUAAUAAGAUGAGAACUAACCCAAUCACCGGAAUCACAACUUUGAGAAGAGUAAUAGUUUCUUUUCUUCGUCCAACCGAAUGGCAGGCUGGUAAAUGCAAUUCACCUAAACCUCCACAAAGCUGUUUAUUCCCAGUUAAAGAAAUUCUUGUUUCAUUGCUGAACACUCCUUUUUUUGGUACCUCGCCCUCAAAGUGAUUGUAAGACAAGUUUAGGUACUCUAAGAAGGGUAGAUCCUCAAGAUGUAUUGGGAUUUGGCCUGACAAAUUGUUACAUGAAAUAUCUAGCUCUUUAAUGCUUUUUAAGGCAUUCAGAGACUGCGGGAUGCUUCCAUUAAAUGAAUUGCCCUGCAUAAGAAGAUACUCUAAGGUUGUACAAGCACUUAGAGUAACAGGAAUCUCAUUGGAAAAAUGAUUUCUAGAUAUAUCCAAUUGAACGAGACUUUUCAAGUUACCCACCUCUAGUGGGAUAGAACCACUAAGAUGGUUUUCGGACAAAUCUAAGAGUUUUGAAAGAGUUGUUAUCCCAAAAAUUUGUGGGGGCAAAGUACCAUUGAGUUGAUUGUUGGGGGCACUCAAUUGCAUCAAAUUCUGACAUUUGCCGAGGUAUGAGGGUAUACUGCCUUGCAAUUUAUUGAAUCCUAAUUGAAGGAUAUUUAAUAAUGUGAGGUUACCGAUUGAGUCAGGAAUGAUCCCCCUUAUGUUGUUUCCAACCAAGCCAAGAUAUUGCAGGUUUCUGAGCUCACCAAUGGCAGGAGGAAUAGUGCCUGUUAACUGGUUAUACUCUAAACCCAAUCCAUUAAGAUUGAAAAGAUUUCUUAUUUCAGGAGGUAUGGUGCCUGAUAUUUG
rnacentral:lncRNA from 1 species